UAGUUUCACCUGUUUUAUUUAGGUUUAAAUUUAGUAUCCAAUUAAUUAAAGGGUAAAUAUGUGCUUUACACCUAUAGAAAAAAUGUCAAUUUCUACCACCGGGCGAUGUGUCCAUUGUGGGAUGUGCUUGGGAACAACUUUUAACCUUAGAGAGUCGCAGUCUAUAUACGUAUCUAAACAACGACAGUCCUGGACACACAUGGACUUUGCGAAACUCAUUGAACUAGACAAUAAAACCAUGUAUGAAACCCAAAAACAAACACCCACCAUUUUGGAGAAACACAAUUAUAAAUCAUAGUUCGCUACUUUGCAUCGUUCGGAUGCCAAGACCGCGGCAUUUUAUCGUAUUUUUCAUUACUUUUCGUAUAGUCAAGCCCAUCAAAACUCGCAAUUCAUUAACAUUUCCUUAGUAAAUGAUGAAAAAUGUAUUAUUUUUAACAUACUUGUUACAUGACGCUUUAUGACAAACAUCUAUUUACAUUUCACAUUAAUUACCUGUUGGGGAUUUUUGGUUUUUCAAUUUUAUAACGUUUGAUCAAUCAAGUUGGCGGCCUUGUCUCAAACACAAUGGAAGUGACACGAGUGCUAACGAUAAAAUAACCGUUGUAAAACGUUUUGUGAAAGAAAAAUCGUAUAAUUUGGCUUAUUACUGUGAUAUCCUUCAGGAAGUCUGAUAUUUAGGUAGUUUUGUAUAAUUUUUAUGUUAUAUAAAUGAAAGGUUCCAAAAUGUGCCACAAAAACGUCCAAAACGAGUGGAACAAUAACGUUUUUUUUAUCUAGGUUUCUUGUGGAUUGCAAUUGAUAUAUCUCAAUAAAACCUGGUAUCCAAUA